CUGUACUAAAUAAGGCAUAAAUUUAGCCAAAAUAAACAGGAUUGGUCAUGCGUAUGGAUAAUCCCAAAUAAGGCACCUACUUUGGCGCACACUUGUGUAUGAAGAGCCUGAAAAAAUCCCUUUGUUGAGCAACCCGUCGAAGAUUCACUUCAUAAGAAGGUACCCUCUAUCAAAAGGCAUGGUAAAGACAUCAAGUGGAGUUUCAGCCUGGCCAGCUGCCAACUCUGCGAGGAUUUCCACUGACAGGAUUUCAGACGAUGGCCUCACGUUUGAAGCUGAACUGUGCACCAAGCCAAUCACGGCCAGUCAGGAGCAGCCCUUCAUAGUACAUGAUGUGAGAGAAAAACGAAAGGGGCAAGAUUAAGAGGGCAUACAAGCGGCACAGUGCAUGAUGAUGAAGGUGGGUUGAAUAGAAUUGGCUUCUGCUUCUGCAAACAGGCGGUGGUCCAGGAUACCUGAAGCUCCAAUGUUUAAGUCUCUGUUGUGGAGCUGUGUGAGCUCUUUCCUGAAUAACUGAUGAUCUCUUUCUGACUUUACACAAUGAUGCUAAACUGAUCCACUUAAAUACAUUUGUUUAUGGUUAAAGCUUUGUUCGAGCUUUCUGUGAACUUGCAUAAUGGCAUAAUCACUUCAGAAUUGUCACUGCUUAAAUCUUUUGUGGAACCUUUUUUUGGAAGCAUCCCCUUAAUUUAUUUUUUUAUCUAAUGCUUAUUUCAAAUUCAUGGCAAAAUACAAAGGUGGAAGAAAAUUUCAUAGUGCAAAGUUUAAUUUGUCUCACCACAUUUCCAAGUCAAUUUUUUCUUGAAAGUAGUAACAUAUUCUGCUGAAAUUACUUUGGUAUUAAGUUAAGUUGCAUGUUCCUGUAUUUGAUGCUUAAUAUUUUCACUGCAACUGAAAAUUGUGAACCAAUAAAUUUUCACCAGCAGUAAUUUUCCACUAAAAUACAGAUGCAGUGGAGGAGUCGGGGGCUGGGUUGGCCAAUUAAAAGUCCAGGCAGAUUCUGUAAAUGAUCAUCCUUCUUGUCUACUGUCCACCUUGGGAAAUGUUCUUGAUACUCUGGUAACAGUUGCACUGAUGAAUUUGGGGGAGCUUUAUCCUGUUCCCCAUGUGUGACUUGUUUUGAACUCCUGCACUCAAGCCUAAGGUUGUUCAAAGAGCCUGACAUUCCAAAUAUUAUUCUAAAGAUAAAUGUAAUAAUGUUCUUCUGAAUAUUGUAAGUUUUGAUGUUGUUGUGUCUCUAUGACAAGAGACAGAAUAUAAUCAGGAAAAUAAAAAUAAGGGAAGUUGAGAAUUCCACAAAAAUAGCCAAAGUGAUGACAUUGGUGUGUUCACUGGUCUCUUAUGUUGGGACAUGAAGGUAAGGGGUAAAUUUCCUGCAGCAUCAUAAAGUCUUCAAGGGGCUGAAGUUUAUUGAAAGCACGUGAGAUCAUGUGACUUUGUCAUAUGUUGUAGUCCCCACCUGGUUCUAUAAUAGGGAAGGAAAUUUGCCUACAUGUGUUUCCAGUCUCUCAGCAAUGUGGUUGACUAUUAACUAACUGCUGGGCAAUUCAGGAUAGGCAAUAAAUGAUAG